rnacentral:rRNA from 1 species
GCGCACCAGGCGCGAAACCUUCGCAAUGCGGGAAACCGCGACGAGGGGACUCCCAGUGCCUACGCUCAGCGUAGGCUGUUCCCGAGCCUAGAAAGCUCGGGGAGUAAGGGCUGGGUAAGACGGGUGCCAGCCGCCGCGGUAAUACCCGCAGCCCGAGUGGUGGCCACUAUUAUUGGGCCUAAAGCGUCCGUAGCCGGCCCGGUAAAUGCCUGGGUAAAUCGUGAGGCCUAACCUCACGAAUUCCGGGUAGACUGCCGGGCUAGGGACCGGAGGAGGGAGAGGGUACUCCAGGGGUAGGGGUGAAAUCCUGUAAUCCCUGGAGGACCACCGGUGGCGAAGGCGCUCUCCUAGGACGGGUCCGACGGUGAGGGACGAAAGCCAGGGGAGCGAACCGGAUUAGAUACCCGGGUAGU